UACGAAGGGGGCUAGCGUUGCUCGGAAUCACUGGGCGUAAAGCGCACGUGGGCGGGUCGUUAAGUCAGGGGUGAAAUCCUGGAGCUCAACUCCAGAACUGCCUUUGAUACUGGCGAUCUUGAGUUCGGGAGAGGUGAGUGGAACUGCGAGUGUAGAGGUGAAAUUCGUAGAUAUUCGCAAGAACACCAGUGGCGAAGGCGGCUCACUGGCCCGAUACUGACGCUGAGGUGCGAAAGCGUGGGGAGCAAACAGG
rnacentral:rRNA from 1 species